UGAACGCUGGCGGCGUGCCUAAUACAUGCAAGUCGAGCGAACAGAUGAGGAGCUUGCUCCUCUGACGUUAGCGGCGGACGGGUGAGUAACACGUGGAUAACCUACCUAUAAGACUGGGAUAACUUCGGGAAACCGGAGCUAAUACCGGAUAAUAUAUUGAACCGCAUGGUUCAAUAGUGAAAGACGGUUUUGCUGUCACUUAUAGAUGGAUCCGUGCCGCAUUAGCUAGUUGGUAAGGUAACGGCUUACCAAGGCAACGAUGCGUAGCCGACCUGAGAGGGUGAUCGGCCACACUGGAACUGAGACACGGUCCAGACUCCUACGGGAGGCAGCAGUAGGGAAUCUUCCGCAAUGGGCGAAAGCCUGACGGAGCAACGCCGCGUGAGUGAUGAAGGUCUUCGGAUCGUAAAACUCUGUUAUUAGGGAAGAACAAAUGUGUAAGUAACUAUGCACGUCUUGACGGUACCUAAUCAGAAAGCCACGGCUAACUACGUG
rnacentral:rRNA from 1 species